rnacentral:rRNA from 1 species
UAGGGAAUAUUGCACAAUGGAGGAAACUCUGAUGCAGCGACGCCGCGUGAGUGAUGAAGGACUUCGGUUCGUAAAGCUCUGUCGUAUGGGAAUAAGAAAGUGAAUGUACCAUGCAAGAAAGGAUCGGCUAACUUCGUGCCAGCAGCCGCGGUAAGACGAGGGAUCCUAGCGUUGUUCGGAAUCAUUGGGCGUAAAGCGGAUGUAGGUGGCUUUGUAAGUCAGGUGUGAAAGCCCUGGGCUCAACCCAGGAAGUGCAUUUGAUACUGCGAAGCUUGAGUGCCAGAGAGGUUACUAGAAUUCCAGGUGUAGUGGUGAAAUACGUAGAUAUCUGGAGGAAUACCGGAGGCGAAGGCGGGUAACCAGCUGGACACUGACACUCAGAUCCGAAAGUGUGGGGAUCAAACA